GAAUCGCCCGUGCGCUGCGCUCGCCCUGCGGAACGUGCAAAAGGGUCAAAACCCUAGCCGCCAGUUCUCGUCAAGCGCGCGGCCCCUCUGCCUCGUCUCCUCCCUACUCCCUCCUCUCCCACGACGCUGCCCUCGAGCCCGCGCCGCCUCCAACUCGUCUCCUCCCCGCUCCCUCCUCUACAACGCAGCCGCCCUCGAUGCGCCGUAAGGAGCAGGGCAACGGAUUGGAUCGAGGGCGCCCUAGCCUCACCGCCGUUGCACUUGGAUUCGCUAGCCGCCGCGUCGAGUCACCUCCGUCCCCGCCGCGAGUCAGCUCCACCGUUGCCGCCAGGAAUCCCUUCCCGACAAGGAAAAUUCCUAGGGAUUUUAUUGAUGGAGGCAUCACUAUUUGGCGCUGGAUUAUCCAUUUUUGCAGCACCAGCAAUGUUGUUUUUGUUUGGAAUGGCCAGUUCUCAAUUUCUAAAUCGGCUAUACUAUACUUCUUGUGAGGUUACAUUAUCUUGCUUGGUUUCAGUCUAUAUGUAGCACAAAAAUAGGUGACAUGGUUGGUUUGUAUGUUACACUAAGGAAUACCACCAUAAGGAUAAGGGCAUUGCACUUCUUUGUUUAUAUUUGGUCUGUUCCUAUUCGAUUUGUUGUAGUACUUAAUUGCUACACCAUUUCAAGUUUCUUACUAUUUUCUUCUUGUUGUUUCAUUGUAUUCAGUUAUGAUAUAUUUUUCAACUAUACAAGCACUUGGGGAAGUCGGGAAAACUGAACCAAAGACACACUUUUACUGGUGAUGUUGGGGCUUUUUUUAACUGAGAUGUGAAAGAUGCAUCUUGUUAGGAAUAUGCAACUUGUAUUCCCAUGAGGCCAUAGGCCGAUAUAUAUACAUGUACAGAUGUGAAACAUAUGCAGGAAACCCCUUAUAUAACGGGAUAAAUACAAAGGGGUACAUGACUUAUAAUAUAACUCUAACACCCCCCCCUCAAACUCAUGGCGGAUGAACAACACUGAGUUUGGAGAGAUAAAAGCCAUGUUGUGCUCUAGUCUGGGCCUUCGUCAGGAAAUCCGCCAACUGUAACUCGGAAGGCACAUACUGAAGAGCAAUAACCUGAUCCUGCACACCAGCGCGUACAUAGAAAGCAUCAACACCAAUAUGCUUGGUGAGCUCAUGCUUCACAGGAUCACGCGCAAUGCUAAUAGCACCUGUACUGUCAGAUAAGAGCGGAGUCGGUGUAGUGACAGAAACACCAAAAUCCUGAAGUAACCACCGUAACCAAGUCACCUCUGCCGUCAAAAGAGCCAUUGCUCGCAACUCAGCCUUGGCACUCGAAGGGAAACUGCAAUCUGUUUCUUCGUCUUCCAGGCAAUGAGAGAACCACCAAGAAAAACACAGUAAGCAGAAAGUGAACGGCGAUCUGAAGGAUCACUAGCCCAUGUAGCAUCCGAAUAAGCCUGAAGCUGUAAAGAACUGGAGCGAGGAAAGAAUAGACGGUGAGAGAUUGUGCCCCGAAGAUAUCGGAGAACACGAAGGAGAUGACUAUAGUGGACCGAUGUGGGAGCGGAGACGAACUGACUCAGAAUAUGAACCGGAUAAGAGAUAUCCGGACGAGUGACAGCUAGAUAGACAAGACUGCCAACAAGAUGACGAUAACACGUCGGGUCAGGGAGGGGAUCACCAUCAGUAGCACGGAAGUGAACAUUGAGCUCCAUAGGAGUCUCAACAAUGCGUUCGUCAGUAAGAGCAGCACGAGCAAGAAGAUCUUGGAUAUACUUUUCCUGGGAUAUAAAAAAGCCAUCAGAGGUAGAAGAGACUUCAAUCCCAAGAAAGUAGCGAAGAGGGCCAAGAUCAGACAUAAGAAACUGCUCACUAAGACAGGCCUUUACAAAGGCAAUAUACUCGGGGUCAUCCCCAGUGAUGACCAUGUCAUCAACAUAGAGAAGAAGAAGAGUCCGACCACGAGGAGAAAGGUGAAUAAACAAUGCUGGAUCAUGAGCACUUGCUGAAAAACCAGCAGCAGUGACCACAAAGGCAAAACGCUCAAACCAGGCACGGGGGGCUUGCUUAAGGCCAUAGAGAGAGCGACGAAGACGACAGACCAUGCCAUCAGGAACAGAAUACCCAGGUGGUGGCUGCAUGUACACCUCCUCACGCAGCUCACCAUUAAGAAAAGCAUUCUUAACAUCAAGCUGAGAUAUAGACCAGUGGCGUGCAGAGGCAACGGCAAGAAGUGUACGAACAGUGGUCAUAUGUGCCACAAGAGCAAAAGUCUCGUCAUAAGCACGACCAUGCUCCUGCUGAAAACCAUGAGCCACAAGACGAGCUUUGUGACGCUCAAGAGAACCAUCGGAGCGAGUCUUAACCUUGUAGACCCACUUACAAGUGAUGGGACGGACUCCGGGAGGAAGGGAAACAAGAUCCCAGGUACUAGUGCGUUCAAGAGCAGCAAUCUCCUCUGCCAUCGCAAAAUGCCAUUCAGGAUGAACAACAGCCUGACGAUAAGAAGUCGGCUCAAGAACAGCAGCACCAGCGGUGGGAAAUCCAAAGCGAUCAACAGGCGGACGAGGACGAGAACGCAAGCCAUAAGUAGGCUGAGAGGAAGAUGACGACACAUCCACGGAGGCAUCCACAUGACGUGAACGACGAGUGUAAUACUGAGGAAAAGAUGGAACAAUAGAAGGAGGAAUCGCCAAGGUAGAAUCGAGGGGUGGCGACGAAGAAGUCACCGGAGAUGAAGGUGUAGAAUCCGGUGACAUGCUAGAUGAGGAGACCGUGGAAGAUGGUGGCAUCAAAUCGACUAGAGGUGGAGAAGCAGAGGGAGCGGAACGAAUAGGCACAGGCUCGAGGGGGUGAUAGGUGAGUCAGGAAAAGUGAGGAAAGAGAUAUCCUCCAUUGAAAAGGUCGAGGAAGAUGGGCGUGGGUAGAAGGGACGAGACUCAUCAAAAGUCACGUCUCAAGAGAUACGCAUCCGACGACCGAUAGGAUCCCAACAACGAUAGCCCUUAUGCUCAUCACUGUAGCCUAAAAAGACACUCAACAGACUGAGCGGUCAGUUUGGUGCGUUCGCGAGGGGCAAGAAGAACAUAGCAAACACAACCAAACAAGCGAAGCAUCGAAUAAUCGGGAGAACGAUCAAAAAGACGCUCGAAAGGAACACCACCCUGUAGAGCAGCAGAAGGCUGGAGAUUGAUAAGAUAGGUGGAGGUGGAGACGGCCUCAGCCCAAAAAUGAGGCGGGAGAGAGGCAGUAAUUAGCAAUGCACGAGCCAUCUCAAGAAGAUGAUGAUGCUUUCGCUCAGCCACACCAUUCUGAGCAUGAGCACCAGGACAAGAGAAUUGAGAGAGAGUGCCUUCCUCAGCAAGAACACCACGCAACAUCUUAGAGAUAUACUCGCCAGCAGAGUCAGCACGAAGAACACGAAUGGGUGAAGAGAACUGAGUAUGAACCAUGGCAGCAAAACGCUUAUAUAUAGACAACACCUCACUACGAGAAGUCAUGAAAUAAAGCCAUGUGUAACGGGAGAAGUCAUCUAUGAAAAUAAUAUAGUAUUUAUGACCACCUUUGGAAGCGAAAGGAGCCGGACCCCAUACAUCAUAAUGGACUAAAUCAAAAGGACGCUUAGACACUGACUCACUAUGUGAAUAUGGUAACUGAAUCUGCUUGUCAAGACGACAACCCUGACACUCUAAAGAGACAUCUCCUGAGACAGACCCCAGAAGGCCUCGACGAACUAAAGACGACAACCGAGAACCACACAGAUGACCAAGUCGAUGAUGCCACUGCUUGAAGGAACCAGUAACAGAGGCGACUGAAGCGGAGGAACUGGCGAUAGUGGUGGCAGCAGAAGGAACAUGAAGCCAACCAGAGUGUGCGUGCGACGGUCCUGGACAGAACAAGAGUCAACGUCAAGGAUGACGCGACAACCAGAAUCAGUAAGUUGACCAGCAGAAAACAGAUUCAUGGUGAGUCGAGGAACAUGAGCAACAUCAGGAACAGAGUAAGGAGUGGUAAGAGUGCCUCUACUAACGACAGAAAGUGGAGUACCAUCAGCAGUGAGGACAUGAACAGGAGAAUCCAGCGAGCGAAGAGAGGACAAAAUGGAAGAAUGAGAAGACAUAUGAAAAGAAGCUCGAGAGUCCAGAACCCAUGGGGAUGUACCUGACUAUGUAGAGGGUGAUUGCUCAGUGCGGGAAGCAUCAGUCACAGAAUCAGCAGUACCCGUCGAGGAAGAACCUGAAGCCGCGAGCAGACGCUUAAGUCUCAGAAUAUCCUGCUCAAAGUAAUGGCUGAAGCUAUCGAGGUAGAUGACGAAGUCCCUGAAGAUGAUUAUCGCGCCUUGCGCAGGUGUUUCUUCUUCGUGUAGCACUGAGACUCAAGAUGACCAUCAUUGUUGCAGUAGUCGCAAUGUGGACGCGGGCGACCUGAGCCUCCAGAAGGAGUGGGCAAGAGCGGCGGAGCACUCGAGCGAGAAGGGGUCGGUGCAGCAGGUGGCGUAGGAGCACGAGUAGCGAGCACAGAGGGAACCUCCAGCAAACCAGCACCACGUAAGCGAGUCUCCUCAGCACGAAUCUCAGAAAGCGCCUCCAUGAGAGAAAUACGGCCACAAGCAAACAACUGAGCACGCCGGGGCUCAAACUCCUUACGGAGCCGAGACAGGAACUCAUAGACGCGAUGAAACUCCAAAUUGGCCUGGACAGCCUGGCAACAGGGGCAGGUACGACAACCAGCACUGCGGAGAGAAUCAAGCUGGCGCCAGAUAGCAAAACUCUGUGCAUAGAAGUCAUCAACAGUAGAGUCACCCUGCUGAAGAGCAUGCUCCUGACGGACCACAGAAAGGUAUAAGGCAUCACCAGAGGGCUGAUAGCGCUGAUGAAGACGGGUCCACAUCUCAAAGACAGUAGGAAGACCCAGAAACUCAGAAGCAAACUGAGGCAGAACACUAGCAGUGACAACAGCAGCAGCACGAGCAUCAUCAUCAAGCCACUGGGUGUAAGCAGACAGAGCACCAUGAUAAAUCUGAAGAGCCUCCUCAUAAGCCAAAACCUUCUCAUCAUAAGCACGAUCAGCAGCCUCAUCAGCAAGCUUAGCCGCAUCCUUGGUGGCCUGAUUAGCAUCCGGAGCAAGAACCAGUGGAGUCGGCGGAGUAGGGGCCACCGGAGGAACCGGACGUGGCGGACAGCAGACCUUGCCAGAAAGAACACCCCAGAGACGGAUGCCACGCAUGUGAAUGCGCAUAAAGCCAGUGAACUCGGUGUAGUUAGUACCAUCGAAAAUCACCGGACAGCGAGGGACAGCAACAUAGCCCGAUGCAGUAGACAUAUCUUUUUUUUUUAGCAGAGAUCCAAAAUCAGCAGAAUCCGACGAGAGCAGCAGGGACGAGACCACCAGCUUCCAAUCGGCAACAGGACGGGAUCGGGGGAGCAGCAGGCAGUCGAUCCAGACCAAGGGGCGACUGGCAGCUGGAGGCAGCGGCGGGAUCCAGCAGGGGCCUGUGCGAGUCGGGACAAGGGCGAGCUCGAGCGGGAGCGUCCUUCUCGAUCGGGUGAGGGGCUGCGAGCGAUCGAUCGGGGGAGGGGCUGCGAGCGAUCCUUAUAGGAUCGAGAACGGGAGAGGAGGCCCGUUUCGAUCCAGGACGGGAUCCGAGCGGGACAAGGAGAUCGAGGCUGCGGCCUCUAUCGGGAGGAGAGAUGGAUCAAUCGCACGAGUUGCAGCGUGCAAAAAAGUUAACCUAGCUCUAAUACCAUGUUAGGAAUAUGCAACUUGUAUUCCCAUGAGGCCAUAGGCCGAUAUAUAUACAUGUACAGAUGUGAAACAUAUGCAGGAAACCCCUUAUAUAACGGGAUAAAUACAAAGGGGUACAUGACUUAUAAUAUAACUCUAACACAUCUUAUCCCCUGAGAUAUAUUGCCUUUAAUCUCUUGAUUUUUUUCCCUGACAUGCUAAUAUUGAUGUGACACUGCCUAUGGAGACAAAUAUUUCAUUGCCGGAGAAGUAUGUCGUACGAGCUAAACGCACUGGAAAAGGAAAUCAAUUUGUUACUAUUGAUUCAAUACAUAAACAAAGUCUGGCCAUGACGCACAUCGCUCCGGAGAUACAGGUAUUACAGAUUGGCACGAUGACGUUUCAAAUUGUACAGCCGAAGGAAGUGAAGCCCACUUUUCGAACCCCAUGCAAUCAUGAUACGGAGGGGAAGAUGCAAGUUAAGGACUCAGGAGGAUGCAUGCGUUUUCCUUAGUCCUAGUUCGUUUCCUUUUCAAUAAGUACUAGUCUGUUUUGUCUUUUGUGAUCAACGUGCCGGAUAAUUAAAUUAGUUAAGAUGUGAUUAGAAAGAUAGGAGAGAGAGAGUCCAUGUAGUAUUUUUCUUGUUUAAGUCGGUUUAGCCUGGUCGUUUUUCUCGCCUAUAUAAAAGGCCGGCUUCGGCCAUGUACGGGAUAGCUUUGGUUGAAGUUAUUUUCCAGAGAUGAAUAGAUCGGUAACUCGGGGUAUCUCCGAGCCGCUGUUUGAUAUUUGUUGAAUAGCUCUUGGGGCUUUGUGAUUUUGGCGUGAGAUUGAUUCCAGAAUUUCAGUUUCCGCUGGUCUGCUGAAGAUCGUCCACGUACUUCCUCUCUAGGGUGUGCGUGUUGUUGCUGUGGUGAUUGCAUCUACAAGAUCGCGAGCGCCACGUCGUUUCAGGUGACAUCACACCGUGAAAGAUUGGGCAAAUUAUUUGUACCAUCGAUUUUCUGUCGACGGUCGCACCAAAUAUAGAGCCAGAUAUGCAUGAUUCAUCAUACACAUUACAGCCAAUUAUCCAUUGGUUCUUUUGUCCAUAGAGGUGAUUUUGUUUGGACCAUUAGUCUAGGUAGUGACAUUUUGAUCGAUAAGGCACAAGUUUAUUUUCUUUAUCACUCGGGCUACACUAAAGUAAGCAUAACCGUCAGUGAAAUGAAGGCAUACAAAUCAUGAAGUUUUUGCCUUGGCUGUGUGCCUCGUUUAGUUGUCACUUAUUUAUUUCUUGGAAGUUAUUCAAUUCUCAUUGAGCUUUCCUUAUGCUUUCCAUUGCUAAAGAAGAAAUUUAAAUAUGCAAUAUUUUUAAUGUCUGAGGAGGCGAGAGGAGAUGAAAAAGGGCUGUAAGGUUGUACUUUGGUGCGUCUCUGUCCAAUGAUGGCUGGAUCCAUCUGACGCUCUUCCAAGCAGAGCAGUGCAGAUUUGCUGACUGAGCAGCGGAGAAACAUGUUUCUAAAAAUGUGCCAAAACUGAUGGAUUUAACUACAGGUAUUGCACUAUUAUUCUACAGGUAUCGCUGUAUUGCAUUAUCCAACUGUAAGUCUGUUCUAAACUCUAUGCCCCAUGUAAAUCUGAUGGAAGAUUGGGCCAUUUAAUUUUAACCAAAAAGGGUGAUAUGCUUUGAGUUGCUUGAAUCUGUCCAGACCUGAAAAUUAGAUAUACUUUGAAAGCUCGAUAUAUGAGUAGGAGAUAGUUGAUAAAGGUGUACCUCUUGUAGGAGAUUAGUAGUUGAUUACCUGCUUCUAUGCGGUGAACAAAUGAGUAAGCAGUUUUAGUUGAUAAAGGUGUAGGCAACACACCAUUUUUGCUCCAUUUUUUGGUUUACAAGUCAAGGAUGUUUAGCCUUUCCUGAAUAUGUUAAUUGUGAAACAGUUUUGAUGCAAUUUUUGAACCAUUCAGUCUGUUUUGUUCGUGCAGUUCAUGGUACCAGAUCUGCAGCCUGCAUCUUGUGUAGAUUUGGCUACCACAUUAUAUGAUGAUGUUUCACUUUGCUCAGUCAAAGUUUCAGUAAAAAUUUGAAUUGAACAUAUUUUUGUAGACAUACAAAAAUGGUCUGCAUUUUUUACAUCGCCCUGACAUCCAAUUCAAACUAUAUUUUCUGCCUAAACUGUUGCGUACCCAUGAGAUCAUGGGAUAACUCAGACAUGAGCCGGUGUCCAGUGCGCAGUUGGGUGCAUUAUUUGGUGACAUCCAGUGCUAACUGUUUUUUCAAGGCCACCGAGUGGAGUGAGGGUGAGUAGUGUGGCAUCAGCCUACCGUUUAUUUAGCUGGUUCUAGGAUCUCCUUUGUUGCUGCAUCUUGAUCUCCUGCUUUGCUGUAACUAUGUUCUGCUGCUUGAUGUUUGUUUCCUUCUUUCUAGCUACAUGCUUAUUCUUUCUAGCCACACGCAUGUUUUCCUUUUGCUGUGGGAAAUAGUUCAGUUAUAUUUAUCAGUAGCAUCUCUAUGUUUAUAGAUACAUACUAGGAACAUGCUUAUUUAGUGUGGCCUUCUCUUUUUUAUGCAAGAAGUGUGCCUUCUCUAAUCUGACAAUCAUCUUAUUUGUUGUUCUAAAUAAUUACUACAGGAUGGAGCAGCAGGCAUAGAUGAAAUCUACUGCAAAUUUCUAUUGGUUGCGGCAUCUUCCGCCGACUCACAUUGUGGUAUGGUCAUGGUACAGCAAAAGGAAAAGAUGUUUAAACUUUUUUUGGGCGUCAUACAUGAAAAGUACCUUUAUUUCCAUCGAGCUUAAUUACUAAGAAAAUGUUACCACUAUUUCCUUACUAAUAAACCUAAAUGUUCUGAAAGUUCGGUCUCUUGCUCUCUUUGCUUAUGAAUUGGACACUUUCCCUUUCUUUAGUCCUUACACGGUUCCACCUCGCUUUGACUUCAUACUUUGAUGGUGUUUGUAGGUAUGAAGACUUGAAGAGUGGUCAUAAUGUUACUUAAAGGAGGCCUCAACUUGCACCAAAUACAUGGGCAUGUGCAACAGCAACUUAUGUAGGUUUCUAAAAACCAAUAAAUGCUGCUCUCAAAUCAGUUAGGAGGCUGAAGGUAGUAGCUUACUGAACUCUCAUUUCCGGAAAAAUCUGGAGAUGUCUUGUUUGUACAAUCUCUAAAGAUGGUGCUCCAUUGUUCUGUUAAUCAAGAUUUGUUCCCUCCUUUCUUACUAGCUGAUACGUGAUGACCGUUUGCAUGGGGUUUAUGUUAACUAUAUUCUAUUCAUGAUUCAAACUGUUUGUUGGGUAAUUUAGUUUAGACAUUGUGUCCUGAGAAUCUUGAUAUCUAGCUGUAUCGGUAUAGUAUAGUUUGUGAUUUUUCCCUCUGAAUUUAUAUAUCCACUCAGGUUGGGAUAGGUUAUGAGUAUUCUUAGUGUGGAAACAGCGACAGUGCUGCACUUUCAUCAUAUGAUGAUAUGCCAACCUUGCGCCAUUUGGCUCUAUGUUACCUGAAUAAGAUAACAAAAUACACA